UACGGAGGGUGCAAGCGUUAUCCGGAUUCACUGGGUCUAAAGGGUGCGUAGGUGGGCUGGUAAGUCAGUGGUGAAAUCUCCAGGCUUAACUUGGAAACUGCCAUUGAUACUAUUAGUCUUGAAUACCGUGGAGGUCAGCGGAAUAUGUCAUGUAGCGGUGAAAUGCUUAGAUAUGACAUAGAACACCAAUUGCGAAGGCAGCUGGCUACACGAAUAUUGACACUGAUGCACGAAAGCGUGGGGAUCAAACAGG
rnacentral:rRNA from 1 species